GUCACUGUUCCGGCCAUAGAAGACAUCAAUUCAUUUGACUUUAUUGAUGAUGGCAUGGUUGCUUCUAGUUCAGGAGAUGCUUAUGCCAGUGAGGAAUAUUCUGAUGAGGAGGAGUUAGACACAGACGACGACUGUGGUUCAGAAUAGACAACAAGAUCAUUAGUUGGGGUAAAAAGGCACGGUGUCACAUUCAAUAAAGGCCAAAGUGACACGUGAACGACGAGAGCCCAUCCCUGAGCACUGCGGAGUCACUCACAUCGAGCUUCACGAUCAAGAAUCGGGUAUUGAAAAAGCAUUGGCCUUUCCCAUAUUCAUUCUGGUGGAAAUGAGGAGUUUCAAUGUUCAAGGUAGAUAUUUCGAGUGAACGUACUUUGCCCAAUAGCUAGU